rnacentral:rRNA from 1 species
UACCCCAGUGCAUGUCUCAGUAUGUUACCUUGCGUUAACCCGCAAUAAAUACAACUUUCAGCAACGGAUUUCUUGGCUCUCGCAUCGAUGAAGAACGCAGCGAAAUGCGAUAAGUAAUGUGAAUUGCAGAAUUCAGUGAAUCAUCGAAUCUUUGAACGCAACUUGCGCCCCUUGGCAUUCCGAGGGGCACACCUGUUUGAGUGUCGUGAAUUCCUCCACCUUAGACUUUUGUCAAAAGGCUGGGACUUGGGGGUCUGCGGGUGUCUCUUGGCCCCGCUCUCCUUGAAUAGAUCAGUGAAGACCCUUGCGGCCCUCGGUGUGAUAGAUAUCUACGCCACGGGAAGCGAGAAUUCAGGCCUUUGCUUCUAACCGUCCGACCGGGACAACAAACUUUGAACUUGACCUCAGAUCAGGUGGGACUACCCGCUGAACUUAAGCAUAUCAAUAAGCGGAGGA